rnacentral:rRNA from 1 species
AUUGAACGCUGGCGGCAGGCUUAACACAUGCAAGUCGAGCGGGGGAAGGUAGCUUGCUACCGGACCUAGCGGCGGACGGGUGAGUAAUGCUUAGGAAUCUGCCUAUUAGUGGGGGACAACAUCUCGAAAGGGAUGCUAAUACCGCAUACGUCCUACGGGAGAAAGCAGGGGAUCUUCGGACCUUGCGCUAAUAGAUGAGCCUAAGUCGGAUUAGCUAGUUGGUGGGGUAAAGGCCUACCAAGGCGACGAUCUGUAGCGGGUCUGAGAGGAUGAUCCGCCAAACUGGGACUGAGAGACGGGCCAGACUCCUACGGGAGGCAGCAGUGGGGAAUAUUGGACAAUGGGGGGAACCCUGAUCCAGCCAUGCCGCGUGUGUGAAGAAGGCCUUAUGGUUGUAAAGCACUUUAAGUGGGGAAGAAAGGUAUCAAGUGAAUAACUUGGUGCUAUGACGGUACCCGCAGAAUAAGCACCGGCUAACUCUGUGCCAGCCGCCGCCGUAA